rnacentral:rRNA from 1 species
UUUCAAUGGCUGCAGUAUUUUGACUGUACAAAGGUAGCAUAAUCAUUAGUUUCUUAAUUAGAAGCUGGUAUGAAUGGUUUAAUGAAAAAAAUACUGUCUUUAUUUAAAUUUUAAAAGAACUUUAUUUUUGAGUUAAAAAGCUUAAAUUUUUUUAANAGACGAGAAGACCCUAUAGAGUUUAAUAAUUUUAAAAAUAAUAAUUUUAAGAAUUUUAUUUAAUUUAUUUUGAUGAUUAUUUUGUUGGGGUGACAAAAAAAUAUAANAAACUUUUUUUUUAUGAAUACAUUUAUUUAUGAUUAUUUGAUCCGUUAUUUAUGAUUAUAAGAUUAAAUUACCUUAGGGAUAACAGCGUAAUUUUUUUGGCGAGUUCUUAUCAAUAAAAAAGUUUGCGACCUCGAUGUUGGAUUAAAAUUUACAAUUGGUGCAGUAGCUAAAUUGUUAGGUCUGUUCGACCUUUAAAAUUUUACAUGAUCUGAGUUUAAACCGGUGUGAGCCAGGUUGGUUUCUAUCUUUAGAUAGUUUAAAUAUUUUAGUACGAAAGGACCAAAUAUUUGUAAAAUUUAUUUUAAGUUGAAUUAAA